rnacentral:lncRNA from 1 species
CGUGAAGAAAUAUGUUCCAACCUGGCAGUGAUAUUCUCUAUCUUGGACCUCAUCUCAUCAUUGAACUUAAUAGCACUUGGAGUGAAACUAGUACGACAAGAAGGGAUAAGACUCUUACUAGUGCUGGGUUGAGUUUCCGCCAUCAACUGCUGCCCCAAAGCUUGAGUGGCCAAGUCGUCCAGGAUGUCCUCCACAUCAUAAGCCAAGUCUCUGAGGUCGUCGAGCCAUUUCUUCACCGCUUGCUUUUCCAUCUGCUUCUCCUCCGCAUCCUCCAGCACGGCAUGAAUUUCCUUUAGGGUGUUCUCCCACUUGUUGAGCUCAGCACGAACUUGCACUGGGCGAGCAAAAUCGAGCAGGUCAGAGGACAACAACCUCUGAAACAGAGUUUCAAAGAAAGAAGACAGAAGAGCCUCUCCAACAAAAGCCAUGGAAGCAAGUACGAGAAAUCAAAGGCAGAGAAACGACUCAGAAUCAGAACAGCACAAGUAGAAAGCCAGACAAGGUUGGUUAUAGAGCAAUUAUAGAUUAAAAUGUCAUUCCUGUUUGACCACACCCAUAUUCAUUACUUUGUACGGUUGAGAUCCUCCAAUCAAAUUGUGAUUAUAAUUACAUACAUGAUGUUAGCACACUGUAUUAAGAUACCCUUUUAUUAAUCUAAUGAUUCGUAACAACUCCUGCAAUUGCUCUUUUAUUAAUACUCAUCACAUUAAUUAAAAAUUCAUCUAAAAUGUAAGGAAUCUCCAACAAAUUUCUUGAUGUGUGUGUGCAUAUUUUUAUAUUACAAGUGGGUUUCCUACUCUAUAUUUUAUUAUUAAUCUUAACAGUUGCCCUUUGUCCCCAUCUAAUUUGGAUCAAUAAUAUUGUCGGCCAACAUCAGUUUGUAAACACAAAAAACAUACGAAUUAAUCUUAGCCGCUGCCCUUUGUGUAGGGAAUUAAACCAAAUUCCCAACCCGUGAGAAACAAAAAUUAGAGAAAACACACGCCAAAGAAAAACAAUCACACGCACAAGACAGUAUUUACGUGGUUCGGCAAUUUGCCUACGUCCACGGAGUUGCAGGGAUAUCACUAUUAUCAGGGAAGAAUACAGAGUACGACCUAGCGGCUACAAUAUUCUCUAUAUAUAUAUAUAGCACGGCAACCCUACCAUACUAAAAAACCCUAAUUACAAAAGGUGGUUCCACAAUGGGUUAAACGGGCCCAACAGGCCUCAAUAAAUCUCCCAUUAAAAAGUCAUGCAAUAUUAUUCGGGUCGGGUCGUCAAAUCUGAUCAAACAAAACUAGGCUCCACAAAGCCCAACAAAUCUCCCACUUGGAGACUAGUCCAAUCACCAACAUCAAACCGCUAUCCUCCAAGAAACAAUCCCUCAUCCCUACAACUCAUCCUCCUGUCCUCAAGCUAGAAGACCAAUUGAAGCUGUACACAGCUUCAACUUCUCAAUAGUGACACCCUUAGUCAACAUGUCUGCCGGGUUCUUAGAUCCACAAAUCUUCUCAAGUAUUACUAGUUUAUCUUCAACAAGAUAACGGAUAAAGUGGUAUUUUGUUUGUAUAUGCUUCGACUUUGAAUGAAAAGCCGAAUUUUUGGCAAGAAAAAUUGCACUCUGGCUGUCACUGUGUAGAAUGCCCAUCUCCUGCUUCUUACCCAAUUCAUCUAAGAAACCAUGUAGCCAAAUCAUCUCCUUUCCAGCUUCAGUUGCUGCAACAUACUCAGCUUCUGUAGUAGACAGAGUAACAAUCUUCUGUAGAUUUGAAGUCCAUGAUAUAACUGUACCACCUAGAGUAAAAACAAACCCAGUAGUACUCUUUCUACUAUCAAUAUCACCAGCAAAAUCAGCAUCUACAUAACCCUGCAGUUUCAAACUUGCACCUGUGAAGCAAAGACAUGUAUCUAAUGAACCCUUCAGAUAUCUUAAAAUCCACUUGACUGCCUCCCAAUGCUGCUUUCCAGGCCUACUCAUGAAUCUGCUCACAACUCCCACUGCAUGUGCAAUGUCUGGCCUUGUACACACCAUAGCAUACAUCAAGCUGCCAAUAGCUGAGGCAUAGGGCACCUUGCUCAUAUGGUCCCUUUCUUCUUCUGUCUUCGGUGACUGUUCUUUGCUUAGUUUGAAAUGACUACCCAAGGGUGUGCUCACUGGUUUAGCUUCAUUCAUGUUGAACCUGCUGAGAACUUUCUUCACAUACUCUGACUGUGAAAGUUUCAAUGUACCAUUAGCCUUGUCUCUAAUGAUUCUCAUACCAAGGAUUUGCUUUGCAGCUCCCAAAUCCUUCAUUGCAAACUGUUUGGACAAUUGCUUCUUCAGAUUAUUAAUCUUCUCAAUGUCAGACCCUGCAAUAAGCAUAUCAUCCACAUACAACAGUAAUAUGAUGUAAGAAUUGUCAAAGGACUUAACAUAGCAACAAUGAUCAGCUUCACAUCUCUUGAACCCAAUUCUAUGCAUAAAAUUGUCAAACUUCUUGUACCACUGUCUAGGAGCUUGUUUAAGGCCAUACAAGCUCUUUCUCAGUUUGCAGACUAGAUUCUCUUGUCCCUGAACAAUGAACCCUUCUGGCUGAAUCAUGUAAAGGUCUUCCUCCAAGUCACCAUGAAGGAAUGCUGUCUUCACAUCUAACUGCUCAAGAUGUAAGUUUUCUACAGCCACCAUUCCAAGUACAAGUCUAAUUGUUGACAUCUUCACAACUGGAGAAAAUAUCUCUGUGUAGUCAAUGCCCUCCUUCUGUUGGAACCCUUUAACCACUAAUCUGGCCUUGUAACGUUUGCUACCAUCAUGCUCAUUCUUUAUUCUGUAUACCCACUUGUUGUGCAAAGCCUUCUUUCCUACUGGCAAUUCAGUCAGUUCCCAUGUCUGAUUCCCCAGCAGGGAAUCCAUCUCAUCCUUCAUGGCUAACUCCCACUUGCUUGAAUUCUCAUCUUGCAAGGCUUCAUUAUAACACUCUGGCUCACCACCAUCAGUCAACAGGAGAUAAUUUAAAACAGGUGAAUAACGUUGUGGAGGUCUAAUGUUCCUGGAAGAUCUGCGAACUUCAACUACAGGUGUCCUCAAAUCUACCUUUGAAUUUACAUUCUCCUUAUCUUCUUCACCCCCUUUUUGGACAGUACUUUCAGUCAAUUCAUCUAAGUUGACAAACUCAGAUUUCUUUUGAUCUAUCUCUGUAACAUUUGACGUUACAGUUAACCUGUCCUUGUACAUAACCUGUUCAUUAAAUAUCACAUUUCUACUUCUGAUAAUUUUCCUGUUUUGUUCAUCCCAAAACCUAUAGCCAAAUUUCUCAUCACCAUAGCCAAUGAAAAAACAUAUUUUUGACUUUGCAUCAAGUUUACUACGAGCAUCAGAAUCAAUAUGAACAUAAGAAACACAACCAAAAACUUUUAAAUGUGAAAACUUCACCUCUUUACCGCUCCAAACCUCCUCAGGAAGUCUGAACUCCAUGGGAACUGAUGGUCCUCGGUUUAUCAGGUAAGCAGCAGUGCUAACAGCAUCAGCCCAAAAAGUUUUUGGUAGUCCAGCAUGCAACCUCAUACUUCUAGCACGCUCAUUGAGAGUUCUGUUCAUGCGCUCAGCCACACCAUUCUGCUGUGGUGUCCCAGGAAUGGUCUUCUCCAUCCUAAUUCCCUGUGCAGCACAAUACUCACUGAAUCCUCCAUCUAUGUACUCUCCUCCAUUAUCUGACCUCAAACAUUUUACUUUCAAACCUGUUUCUGUCUCAACCAUGGCCUUCCACUUCUUAAAAGUUACAAAUACAUCAGAUUUAUUUUUCAGAAAAUAAACCCAUACCUUUCUACUUGAGUCAUCAAUAAAGGUGAUGUAGUACCUUGAACCUCCUAGGGAUGCAACCGGAGAAGACCCCCACAAAUCGGUGUGUACUAGUUCCAAUUUUUCAGCCUUCGGUGUCCUGCCAGUUUUCAAGAAGCUCACCUUUUUUUGUUUUCCUAAGAUGCAACUUUCACACAUGUCAAAAUCAAUGGACUUCAAUUCUGGUAGUUUUCCUUUUGACAGCAACAUCUUCAUCCUUUUCUCNNNNNNNNNNNNNNNNNNNNNNNNNNNNNNNNNNNNNNNNNNNNNNNNNNNNNNNNNNNNNNNNNNNNNNNNNNNNNNNNNNNNNNNNNNNNNNNNNNNNNNNNNNNNNNNNNNNNNNNNNNNNNNNNNNNNNNNNNNNNNNNNNNNNNNNNNNNNNNNNNNNNNNNNNNNNNNNNNNNNNNNNNNNNNNNNNNNNNNNNNNNNNNNNNNNNNNNNNNNNNNNNNNNNNNNNNNNNNNNNNNNNNNNNNNNNNNNNNNNNNNNNNNNNNNNNNNNNNNNNNNNNNNNNNNNNNNNNNNNNNNNNNNNNNNNNNNNNNNNNNNNNNNNNNNNNNNNNNNNNNNNNNNNNNNNNNNNNNNNNNNNNNNNNNNNNNNNNNNNNNNNNNNNNNNNNNNNNNNNNNNNNNNNNNNNNNNNNNNNNNNNNNNNGCCCAUUCCUCAGCCUUCAUACUCUCAGGUUUUGUCCCCAAAAGAGGCAGAUGCAAUUUCCUCCCAUAGAGAUAAUCUUCAAUCUGCAUCCUCUAAUACGCAAAGUCUGUGCCAUCAAACUUUUCUAUUCCAGACGCCUUUCCUGCUUCCUCUGCCAUUGCUCCCACUCAAACCUAACCCUAGGCUCUGAUACCAGUUGUAGGGAAUUAAACCAAAUUCCCAACCCGUGAGAAACAAAAAUUAGAGAAAACACACGCCAAAGAAAAACAAUCACACGCACAAGACAGUAUUUACGUGGUUCGGCAAUUUGCCUACGUCCACGGAGUUGCAGGGAUAUCACUAUUAUCAGGGAAGAAUACAGAGUACGACCUAGCGGCUACAAUAUUCUCUAUAUAUAUAUAUAGCACGGCAACCCUACCAUACUAAAAAACCCUAAUUACAAAAGGUGGUUCCACAAUGGGUUAAACGGGCCCAACAGGCCUCAAUAAAUCUCCCAUUAAAAAGUCAUGCAAUAUUAUUCGGGUCGGGUCGUCAAAUCUGAUCAAACAAAACUAGGCUCCACAAAGCCCAACACUUUGUCCCCAUCUAAUUUGGAUCAAGAAUAUUGUCGGCCAAUAUCAGUUUUUAAACACCAAAAAAAUAGGAAUUAAUCUUAGCAGCUGCCCUUUGUCCCCAUCUAAUUUGGAUCAAGAAUAUUGUCGGCCAACAUCAGUUUUUAAACACCAAAAAAAUAGGAAUUAAUCUUAGCAGCUGCCCUUUGUCCCCAUCUAAUUUGGAUCAAGAAUAUUGUCGGCCAACAUCAGUUUGUAAACACAAAAAACAUACGAAUUAAUCUUAGCAGCUGCCCUUUGUCCCCAUCUAAUUUGGAUCAAUAAUAUUGUCGGCCAACAUCAGUUUUUAAACACCAAAAACAUACGAAUUAACUUAGGCCUGUUUUAUAACUAUUUUCAAAAAUAUUUUUUUCAUUUUUUAAAAAACCAAAACAAAAAAACACAAACUAUCUGUUUUAUAUUCUUAAAAAUAGAAAAACGGAUUGUUUUCUAUUGUUUUUAUUUGCUUUUUGAGGAUUCUUUUUAAAAAAUAAUUCUACAAAUAUGCGUAAUAAUUAAAAAUAAAACAUUAAAUAUAAAAAUUAUUUUUAAAAUAUACUUAAAAAUAUUAAAAAUAUGAUGAAAAUAUUUUAUAUUUUUAAACAUAUUUUUAUUUUAUAAAACAUAAAAAACAAUUUUUAAAAACUAUUCUAAAAAACGAUUUUCUACGUUAUCAAAUAAAAUCUUAAUGCCUCUUUCCAACUUAGAAAAGAUUUGAAACUCAUUUUAAUUUUAAAUUUAUUAAUUUUUACUUAAUUAAACUAACUUGUUAACUCCUAGGAAAAACAAAUUUUAAUUUUGAUUUUGAAUCUCACGUUGAUUUUGAUUAGUUUUAUGGGGUUCACCAAUUUGUGGGAACGUGAGGCAUUUAAUAAAAUACUCUCCAACUUGUUGGUAUCAGCAUGGAGUUGUUGGGAAUGGUGAGGGCCACACAGGGUGUAAAAGAAGAAUUUGCGUGUAAAAGAUGAAUUUGCAUUAUUGGUAGUGGAUGCACAUGCGGGGUUUAAAUAAGAGAAAAGAAACCAAAAUGGUUUUUGUAAUACAAAUUGUACAAAUAUCCAUGUUAUUAUUUAAUAACACUGCUUGAAAUUAGUCAGACGUCAUCAAACAUGUAGGCUAUGUUUGAGAGAAAAACAUGAGGGGGAAAAAUACGUAGAAAAAUAAAAAAUAGAUUAAAAGAUAAUAAAUUAUUUUUAUAUGUUUUUUUAAACUAGUUUAACUUAUUUUUGUUAAUUGGUGUGACAUAUGUAAUGAAAAAAAAUUAUGAGAUUUUUCAGGAUUAUGAUGUUUUAUGCAUAUGCCGUAGCCACUCUCUCAUCUUGUUCCAAUUUUCAACAUAGUGGAUUUCUUUCUCUAGUCAUAGUUUUUCCCAUCUAAGGUUUUCUACAUAAAUUUGUGUGUUUUUAUUCUAUUUUUUUUUUCAUAUUGUCUAUUUUGGUUUUUUUUGUGGUAGAAUUAAUAUUAGAUAAUUUCAAAUUACAUAAAUUUCUAACCAAUUUUAAUUAUAUACAUAUAUAUAUUCAUAUUUUUCGUAGUGAAACUAAACAUAAAAAAAUUAUUUUUUUAAAUAUUUUUUUUUCUUAAUACUUUUUGAGAACCAAACAUAAUCGUAAUAUUAUUUAAGUGCUUUUUUAAUACACUCAUUAUAUAUUGAUUUGUGAAAAUUGAAUUUCACACCUCAUCAAUCACUCCCAUUUUUCUUAAAUUUAUUACAUAAAAUAAAAAAAACCCAAAAUAUAUAAUCUAUCCCAUUUAGGUAGUAAAAUGUUCCCAUUGAUGCUUGGACACUUGAAAAUGGUUUGCUACACCUUUUUUAAAUUAAUCAUUAUAAGUGAUUUUGUUUACGUAUUUUAAUUACAAAACUUGUUUGAACUACAAUAUUGUACAAAGUAAAUGUGGAAAAAAAAGCCUUAAAAAAUAUAUUUAGUGACUUCACCAAAAGAAAAAGAAAAAAAUGUUUUUAAAAAAAAGAUGUUUUCAUGUUUUGUUUUAUUAUAUAAAAUAUAAAAGAAAAUCAAACAAAAUUAAAAUUAGUCAAAAAUUCAUAUAUUUUUAAAUUAUUUGAUAUUUAUAUAUGAGAGUUAAAACAAGUUAAAUGAAUUGAAGUAUGUUUUUUAUUUUUCUUUUCUUAUAGUUUUCCUUUCUAUUUUUUCUUCCAUUCUUCUUCAAAUUUUCUGAAGCCAAACAUAACCUAAAAGUUUGUAUAACACCAGGAGCUAACAUAAGAGGUGGAAUUGACCAAUUCAAAAUUAUUUUGGCAUGAUUAAUAGAACUCUUGUCCAUUUGGGGAAGUUUCUUCCUCUAUAGAAUUCGCCUAUAAACUUUGUCAGAUUUCUACGAGCUCAUAGCAAUUCAAGCACAUUCAUAUCAUUCCCUUCAUUUUGCAAAUAAUCAAAAUCACUUUUUCAUUCCACCAUUAACUCUUCAAUGUUCUCCUUUCUCUUUAAAUUAAUAUCCAUCGUAUCUCUAAUAUUUUCUAUAACUUCGAAAAAAAUAGGUAUCCUCAAAGCAACUAUGAGCUUUUUCAGAUUUCUACCUAUGAGGUCGUAGUAACUCAAGCACAUUCAUAUCGCUCCCUUCAUUUUGCGAAUCAUCAAAAUCACUUUGUCAAUUCAUCAUUAACUCUUCAAUGUUCUCCUUUCUCUUUAAAUUAGUAUCCAUUAAUAAGAUCUCCUCCACAUUAUUAAAAUAUCUAGGCUCCAUUUCCUGCAUGAUACUCUAAGGAGGCUAGGGACUCCAUCAUCCGGAUUCCAAGAGAGGUGAGAGAUGUAAGAAGAAGACACUCAUCAUUUGAAAGGAAACCAUUUCUGAGAGUACUUCUCAAAUACACAAUGACAAAAUAAGCUUUGGACUUAUGUGUUAAUAAAAAAGUAUUUUAUUUCAUUUUUUUAUACAUCAUUUUCAAUAGAAAAUAAUUCUCAUUUUCAUAAUCAAACAGGCUCUAGACUUUCUAACUUUUUUUCUCACUAGCCUAAGUAACUUAAGCAACACUGAAAAGACAACUAUAUUUUGGGUUAAGCUUCCAAUUGUGUUGAUUUUUGGAGUUGAAGUUCUAGCUGCACCUAGACAUGUACGUUUAUGGUUUCAUUUUAAGUUGUGUCAUUAGCCCCUCAUCCUCUAAGACAAAAAAAGUUUAUGACACAAGAAAUGGACAUUUGUGAAAGUAAUGAAAUUAAAGGUCCACCAAGAUUUAUGUGGAAAACCCUCCGAUAAUGAGAGAAAAACCACGGGCCAGUCUAGAAAUAAUCCACUAUGGUAAAAAGGAUAUUACAAUAUUCUCACAAUUUCUUUUUAAAAAGAAAGGAAAAAAAAAAAAACUCAGGUAUUACAACUUUUAAAAAAAUAAAAAUGUUUGAGUCACUAUACUAGAGAACCAAAUCCUGCAAAAACAUCUGUUGCUAAUGUCUAAGGAGAAAACAAGCUUCACAUUUCUUACAUUCUACACUAAGCACCAAUAUGAGAGACGGUUGAUUUUGCUUGAGCCACUACAAAUGUAAAAGCACAACAUUGACAUCGUUAAGUUGAGUUCUUCUUGGAGAGCCAUAAGUGUGAAAAUUCCUUUCAUUUUUAUGCCAUCAACUAGCAGAAAAGUCAUUAUAUGGCAAAUCCAUCAAGCUUCCACCACCUACCACCUUAUAUUCAGGAAGCACCAAAAAAAAAAGGAAAAAAUGGUUAGCCCAACUUAAUAGAAUUUGUCUAACCCAAGCAUUGCAAAUGUGAUAAUUGCCCCUAAUGUGAAAUACCCCUCAAUACUUACAUAUAUACAAACAAUGAACCAUAAAAGUGCUCAUUGAAAUUCUAAUUAAGAAGCACUUGAGCUAGUGGUAGAAAUACAAUGGCAUGAAAAUUAUGACUUACACAACAAAGAAACCUAUGAAUUCUACUCAACCAACAAAAGGGAAAACCAUCAACUAUGAUUGAGUCAAUAACAUACCGUCAUACUUUUUUUAGGAACUUAGUCUGCCACUGCAUUAUUUUUCUCCCUCCUACAUGUAGAAAAGAAGUUUCUAUUAAUUAUGGAAGUGAAACCCCAUAUUUAGACCAAGAAAAAACAGACUUUAGCAUCUGUGGUUAGUCAAGCAUACUUGGCUGAAGGAAAGAAUGAUCUAUCUCUCAACUUCUAGAGUAGGAAUAACACAAUUCAAUAUAAAUUCAUAUUUCCAAUGAGGUCAUGUUGCUGAAUGUUGGAGAUGUAGGCAAUGCUGAUCCAAGCUUUCUCCUUUCUCCUUUAAGCAAUUUUGUCUCACAACAGGAGAAUUCUGGAUUUCAAGCACUAACUGUUGCAUUCAGCUCUUCCUUCAGCAAAAAGGACUAAAGCUUAGGACAACUUGAGAUCAAUAGCACUUGAAGAAACUUUCAGCAAAAAUUAAGGUUACCUGAAGUUAGAGGAACAAGUAGAAUGAAUUUUUUAUCUGUAAAAGCCUCGUGCACCAGUGCCACUCAUAGAGAGGCGUCUCAAGCUUCCCACAAUUGAACCCAAACUAAACAAUGGGGCCAAAACCCCUUCCAGAAAUUAAAGAACACCUGAACAAUCAAGGAUCAACCUUGAUACUGGAUGUAAAAAUGGAAAAGAAAAAAAUUAAUGAACAAGAGUAAAAUAUUUAAAAAUAAAUAAAAAAAGAAAAAUGGAAAAAUGUCGAGUUGUGAUAAGUUUUGAAAUGCAUUGUGUCUUUCUACAUGUGCAGAAAAAUUAGGGAGUUAAGAUUAUUAUUCUGAUGUUAAUGGAAUUAUGGGAGUAGCUUAAUAAUGGGCUGGUCUCUGCUUCCAUUUUUGUGAUUGAAAAAUAAAAUCCAAUUUGAAAUGGAUUCAUGUGUUAAAAACCUAACUAUUUCCCUCUACAUAGGGAUGUGAAAAUCUUAGGCCAAUCAUAUUUACAUGUUAAUUUAAAUAUUUGAGAAAUUAAGAAGCCAAUACCAUUCCUAUGGACUAAAACCAACUUCAUCAAAUUGUUGGAAUAGAAAUAAGCAAAUGUGUUUGAAAGAUUGAAUGAAAAAAUCAGGUCAGUUGGAACUAAACUAAGCAAGUGCAACUAGAAAUCUUCUUAAGAUCAAACUUAAGCCACAAUAAAAUUGUUGCAACUGAAUGAAUAAUUGAGAACAACAUACUAGCAUGUGAAUUUCAUCUGUAUGAGAUUUUUUGGCGUAAGGGUGGCAUGCAAAAGGAAAUAUGAUUUAAUUAUAUAGAAAGAAAAAUACGCUAGAAACAUUUUAGAGAACAAGGAAAUAAGAUAGAUGAGAAAAGAAAAUUCUCACAAUUUUAAAAUUUAGAUGAGAAAAUUUGAAUUGCUGAACAUACCUAGUUGAAAUUAAGGAAGGGAAAGUGAUCUAUGAUUCAAUCCAGCAUCCGAUAUCGACAGUUACCUCCUGGUUACAAAAUUGCAUUAAGAUAGAAAAAUGUAAAAUAAACAAAAACUCAAAAGUAAAAAUAAAAGAAUUUGGAACUAAGUUGCGAAUGGGCAUACUUCAACUACCUCUAGAUAUGCGGGGGAUGUGGGCGACGUUGGACCAAUAUUCUCCUCCCUCCUUUAAGUACCUUUCUUCUAUGGUAGGACAAUAGUUGAUGACAAGUUUUGUAAGUGUUGCAGGAAGCGGCCCUAAGGACCGGAGGUUAGGGCAAUAUGAGAUUCCUAGGGAUCGAAGAGAGAUGAGUUUGUGGAGAUCCAAGGAGGCUAGGGAUCCCAUUCGUCUGAUUCGUAGGCUGAUGAGAGAAAUGGGAAGAAGACACUCUUCAUCGGGGAAGGAAACCAUAUUUGGAAACAUGUUCCAAAUAGUCAAUUGAGAAAGAGAGGUGAGGGUGUUGAAGCCCCACUCAGAUAUGGGUGUUUUCAGAUUCAUACAGUCACCGAUCAAAAGUGAUUUUAGGUUAGAGGCCAAACCCUCUUCCGGAAAGGACUCCAAUCCUGGGCAUUCGGAUAUGGUCAGGCUGCGCAGAGAUUUGAGGUUUCUCAUCUGAUGUGUUAGAGAUUUAAGAUUCUCACAUCUGUCAAUUUGAAGGUAUUCGAGGUUAGGGAUGGACAAGCCUCUUUCUGGAAAGCACUCCAGACCUCCAUAAUCGUUUAUGCUUAGCUCCCGAAGGCUGUCAAGGAAUCCUUGUAGACUUUUCAGAUUUGGAUACUUCUCAAGUCGUAAAUGCACUAGUGCUGUACUGUUGGGUGACAUUUUCUCUGACACUGACUCCAAGUUUGUGCAUCCCGAAAUGGAAAGGUUCUUGAGAGUGGAAGGCAACUCCCCUGUUGGAAAGGAAUUGAGAAAGGAAAAAUUCUCUAUCCACAAAUAUUCAAGACAACAAGUGUUGCUGCUGGAGGUGGAAUUGUGGUGCAUCACCCCCUCUGGUAGUGACUCUAGACUUUGACAAUCCCCAAUAUGAAGCUUCUUGAGUGUGGUGGGUAGCUCACCAUUUGGGAAGCAUUUGAGAAAUGGAGAAUACCGAAUCGACAAGUCUUCAAGCGGACACGAGUUGUAGUUAUGAGGCAGCGAUUUUAGACCCCCACAAUAGAACAACUCAAGGCGUCUUAGCAUUGGUGGGAAACCCGAAUCAGGAAAUGACUCUAGUUUGGGGCAUCUCCAUAUCAUCAGCUCUUCAAGACGUGUGAGGGUUUGCAAUCCAUUCGACAGCUUUUCCAGAUUAGCACACCCUUCUAUUCUCAAUUUUUUAAGAUUGCAAGGCAGCCAUUGCUCCUCCCACAAACAUGUCAGCCCAUCACAAUUGCAUAUCUUCAAUUCUUGCAAGGCUACCAAGGAUCUAGUAAUUCCGGUCCUCAAACAUGUCAAUCUUGAAAUCUCGAUGAGAUUUACAGUAACGAGGGAUGGAAGAUCAAACUGAGCACCUCCCAAUACUGCCUCAUCACAUUCUUUUAAAUUUAAUUCACGGAGAGAGAGAUGCAAGUUUUGGAAGCCCACACAUCAAUCCCGGACAUUCUGACACUUCAAGCUCUACUAGGGACUGCAGGCAUUUCGGUAAUUCCCCAAUCAGUUUUGGACAUUCCCUUAUCAAAAACUUUUCAAGAUGGGGAAAUGUUCCCACAUCUUCCUUGAUGAAAUUAGAAUGAGACCAAUUUUCCCAUUCUGGCAUAUCCUCAAACCUCAACUCCUUCAAAGAUGCAAAAGGAUUCAUACUCUCUCCAUAAAAUUCAGCACCUAUGCUUUUAACUUGGCUCAUACCUUCAAUACACAAAACCUUGAGCACCGAUAGUCCACCCAGAUUUGGUAAUAACACGGAUUUUUUGCAAUUUUUGAGAGUUAGUUCCACCAUUACUGAGAAUGAGGGAUAUCCUAACCAACUUGGAAAUUUGGAUCCACCAUAAAAUGCAAUUGUGAGCCUUCUUAAAUUUUCACGAGGCUGCAGGGACUCCAAGACACGUAAUUCACGUUUAUCGUUUCGUGCAUCCCAACAACAAUAACGACUCCACUCCAUGGUCAACAAGACACGCAAUUUUUACUUAAGAAAACUAACUUGUUAAGUCUUAGGAAAAUCAAAUUUUAAUUUUGAUUUUGAACCUCACGUUGAUUUUGAUUAGUUUUAUGGGGCUCACCAAUUUGUGGGAAUGUGAGGCAUUUAAUAAAAUACUCUCCAACUUGUUGGUAUCAGCAUGGAGUUGUUGGGAGUGGUGAGGGCCCAGACAGGGUGUAAAAGAUGAAUUUGCGUGUAAAAGAUGAAUUUGCAUUGUUGUUAGUGGACGUAUAUGUGGUGUUUAAAAUAAGAGAAAAGAAACGAAAAUGGUUUUUGUAAUACAAAUUGUACACUAGAAUAUCCAUGUUAUUAUUUAAUAACAUUGCUUGAAAUUUUUCAUAAGUCAUCAUAUAGUGGAUUUCCUUCUCCUCUCUGCUCAUGAUUUUUUCUAUUUAAGGUUUUUCACAUAAAUUUAUAUCUUUUUAUUCUAUUUUUUUUUCAUAUUGCCUAUUUUUGUUUUUCCAUGGUAGUAUUAAUAUUAAAUAAUUUCAAACUAUAUAAAUUUCAAACUAAUUUUAAUUAUAUUUUAUUUUCUUUCAUAUUUUUCAUAGUAAAACUAAACAUAAGAAAACUAUUUUUCUUAGUAUUUUUUCCUUAAUACUUUCUAGGAACCAAACAUAAUAAUAACCUUAUUUAAGUGCUUUUCUAUUUCACAACUAAUUGACACUGACUUUUGGGUGUAAAUGUCGUCUAGUCCAUCGCUCAAGCAUCAGGUGUGAUUAAUCAUUUGUUCAAUGCCCGAAAACUUCGAUUGGGUUGAUUUGUUUGUCUAAAAGUCCUAGUCAGCUUGGUCUGUUCAUUCCAUCUGGCAUUGUAGAAGAAGGAAAUCUUCUCACCUCUUACACCAGACGGAGCUUAUCUUGGCCCAAAUAAAGUGAUCCUAGACAGAUUAUCUACUUACCUUGGCCGACCAAAGGGUCUUAAGUUUGGGGAGGCCACGUGGAGGCAAGCGCUCCCUACAAUGCCCUCUAAUUUGUUUGCUAUGCUCGAUCGGGUAGCUGACUGGUUGAGGUAGGACGAAUUAUCUGUUUUUUCAAGUUUUUGGGCACCAAGGAAUGCGUGUCAUUUAGGGUUUUAAUAAUGUGUCACAUCAAUCAAGGCUAGUUGUUCAACGGUGUGUCUCUUUAUUUGGCUUUGGAAAGCAUUGCCAGGCGACAUGUCCCUUGGAGUGCCUAGGUUUUUUGUUCCCUAUAAAUAGUAAAGCUCCACACUUUUGGGUCACCUUUUCACUUUCUCCCGUUUCAGAGUUCUCUUGCCUGUGCUGCUCUUUCCCUGCCAUUGGUCUUGCCACCAGCUAUUCUUUUUUGCUUUCAUCACCGUUGUCAACUGGUUUGCCACCGUAGGAACUCUUAUUCGCUAGAGAGCGUCUUCAGUUUUGGUUUUGGUAAGUUUUCUACCGUCUGUUCGUUCCUUUGUUGUGUUUGCAAUUGUUCCUUGGGUUGUAUUAUUCUUGUUUGUUUAGAGAGAAAAUGGACAUACCGAUGUCCAGAUUCUAGAUUUUUCUUUUUGUGUUUUCUUGAUCGUUCUUGUUGCUUAUUUGGGGGAGGAAACAGGUGUACCGAUAUCCAAAUCUAAGGUUUUUCAGUGUCCCCGCUUGCUUCUAUGUCGUCAUUGUGUUUAUGUCAUCGGUUCAUGCUUUUUUGUUGUCAUCACGUUGGGGCGAUGGGCAUGACUCUUCCUUUAUCAUUGGCCAAGAGACUUGCUUUGCAAGUUUCGAUAGCCAAAUUCGUCUAGGUUCGGACUAUGGUCUGUCUAGGCACAUUUUUGUAUUGUUGAAGCAACGCUGAAAGGCGGAUUGGCCAACGCAGGUUUCUAUAUGACCCAAAUCCACUUAGUCUAAUGGAAUAAGGGGAAGUUGUUUCUACCAGCGGAAGGCCUCAACAAAGUGGACAGAAAAAUACUAGAGUCGGGCACCUUAGACCGAACCGUCCAGUUGCUGUCUUAUCCAAGCAAAAAUUUCAAGCUCGUUUUCACAUUAUGGACACUAUCUUAAUUCAGUUAACUAAUGGUGAGGCUCUAUUCUCUGCUAACCUUCCGAACUACAUGAUGUAUUUCACCAAGGAGUGGUUUGCUAAUGGGCUUUGUUUACCCAUUCCUUCCUUCUUCAAACAAUACCUUCAUUUCACGCAAAUCCUCCCAACUUUUCUUCAUCCGAAUAUUGUCCGAUUAUUGAUAGGGUGUAGCGUGUUGGAUAUGCUCUUCCAAUUGGAUCUUUCCCUAUUGGAAGUCUCGUUCAUCUAUACUCUGAAAAUGAGCCAAAAUGAAAGGUUCAGCUUAUCCGCCCAUAUUUCUUCCCUCCAACUAGUGAUUGGUAUUCCAAAUUCAUGUAAAGGCUAGGUCAAGGAGCAUGUUUUGGUGUCUGAGCCUUAGAGUGGUUCAUAUGAUGGUCCAGACAGAGUUUUUUCUCCACAACGUUCGUUGAAGAUUCCGAGUAAGCUAUGCUUUUGUCACUUUCUUUAUACCUUGCUAUUAUUUCCUCUUUUUUGUGAAUCUACUCACGAUCUUUCUGUUCGUCUAAUGCAGGUAAGGAGAGGCAGGAACACAUUGUAAAGUGGGUGGAAAAGGCUUCAUUUGCCCAUCUAAACAAGUUGUUCGAAAUAGACGUUGUUGAAUGGGCUUACAAAGUUCUCGUCUUGGACAAAAACCUUUUGGCACUGAUUGGCAGUCCUAAGUCGUUUAUCAUUCUUAUGUUUCCCUGGCUAACCCCUUCGUCUCUGGUGCUUGGUGAACACUUCGUGCUAAAGGAUUUGCCUUUCUACGAAGUUGCUCGUUUGGCAGAUUCUGAGGCACGCUAGGCUCGUUAAGAGGAACGGGAGAAAAAACGCCAAGAAGGGACAUUGAGGCAAGUGCCAGUUGCUAGACGUUCGUUUUCCAACUCCGUUGUCCGUCCACCUGCUUAGAAAAAGAAAAAGACUAUGGCUCGUCCUAUUCAAAAGGCGAGGACUCCACCUCCUGUCUCCCCAUAUUCAUCGUCAGCUUCAUCUUCUUCUUCCUCUAUGUCUUCUUCAUCUUCUAGAAACAAACCAGAAGCAGGGGUUAUGCAACCUAUGCCUCCUAUUAUUUGUGAAGAAGAGGAAGAGAAGGAGGACAUGGCUUCCAACUUGAGGACCAGAUUCCACAAGAGGCACCGUAAGCGUCUGUCCGAAUCCAUUACUGUCAUUCCUUCUCUUUCGAAGAAAGCCUGCCUGGAACCUACCCUAAAUCCUCCGUCCAAGUCAACAUUGUUGACCACUACUGUAGUUGUCACUUCAAAAUCGAAUAAGAAAUCUCCCUUUGUUGAAUGCUGAAUAUGGAGUAUUAUAUUGUUGUCCCAAUGCAUCACCACCAGUCACCAUUUGAACUCCAGGGGUUGCAUGGAUGAAUGCUGGAUUUCCUGGCCCCCCUUGCCAUGAUGCCGGAUUAACUGAAAUGAAACCAAUCACAAAAUUUGAAUGAUCCUCAGCAAUUUUUGCUGCUGCAGUUGUGUAGUCUCCCUUGGCAAGGUUACCAGAAGAACUCAUUUCUGCAACAAGCAACAGGCCCCUACCACGAGGCAAACCCUACAAACAUUGCAAGAGUAAUAAGAAAUUAGAGAAACAAUAGUUCUAAGGCUUUUCUACAAGUCCAGACUAAUAUUAGGUUAAACUAUUAAUGCAAACCUUCAGUUUCAGACCAUCCACAAUUCCAGGACCAGAGAUUAUGUGAGCAUUAACUAUAUCUGCCCAGUCCAAUAUCCGAAAGAUACCUCUGCAAAUAGUAGUGCCAAGAGCUGUUAAGAAAAUGUAAGAAAAGCAACAGAAAAAGAAAUUAAGACAUACCAGAUGCAAGAAAAGUGAGACUCACCCUUCAUACUGCAUGGUCACUGUGUUACCAAUGUCAGCAAACUUACGAUCUUCAAAGAUUAAGAAGUUAUAUCUCUCUGCAAUCUUCAAAAGGAUUAAACAUAGAAUCAACAAUAACUUAACAAUAACUACAAUAAGACUACCCAAUAAGCUAAUGACAAAACUCAAAACUUUGGAACUGCUAUUGCAUAAGGAACAUUGAUGCCUGACAAUUCAAAGACAAGGAAAGCAAAUAGAGAAUAUCUAUGCUUACAGGCCUAUUCUUUCUAUCAGAGCCUUUUUUUUUUUUUGGUUUUGUUUUAGGUAAAUCUUUGUCCCUACUAGGACUUGAACCUAGCACCUCCCACAAACCCUCCCCAUCCCUUUACCACUUGGGCCAGGCCUCAAGGGCUUCUUUUUAUCAAAGCUUAUAAGCCUAAUUUAAUUCCAAAAGAGAUGAUACAAUAAAAAUAAUGAAAAUUUCCCCUAAAUAAUGCUAUAUGGCCUAUGGGAAACAGAGAAAGAAAGCUUUUCCAUGUUAACCAUUUUAACAAUAUAUGAAAACAAAGAAGAUUUCCAAAUGCUACAUCCCAUUAACUAAAAAGAUAAAUCAUUUCUCUCUCUAUUUGCUACUUUAUACAUGUCAAGCUACAUGGCUUCCAUAAGAAGACAUGAAAAUGGAUAUUAUUUAGCAAAUUUAUUAUGGUAAAGAAAGAUUGAGUUUAAUUGAGAACAAUAUGAGUUAAGAGGUAAACUGGUAAAGAGAGGUCUAUAGUGAUCUUAUGUUUUCAGAACCUAUCAUCCAAACUGAAUGUGGAAGCUAUAACUUUUAACAUAUUUUCAGGUUGAGAGUGGGAAAAUGUCAAGGAGGCAAUGGUGGACUGUGGAAAGUGAUCAAGAGAUGAGGUUCGCAAUUGUGCAUCGUUUCGGUAUCUUGUUUUAUGAUGAUGUUCUGAGAUAUAAUUCAUAAGGGUACUAUAAAGCACUUUCAGACUUUUCAGAAAACUGAACCUUCUCCAUUUUUAUGAUUAUAGGGCAGGAAGAAAAGUUUUCAGGGUGAAUUAUUGCAUUGACAUUUUUUUUAAUUAGUUGCCAUUAUAUAAAUGGGUCACCCACCUCAACCCCAUUUCUUGUGCCCUUAAUCUAUUUGAUUAAUCACUGACAAAAAAAAUUUCAUUGCCACCAAAUUUAUGUGCAUGUGCGUGUGCAUGUUAGGAAUAUAUAUAGAUCACCAAUCCAAUAAAAGAAUAUACAUACAUACACACAUACAUGUAUAUAUAUAUAUAUUCAGGGCAGGUCUCCUGUACCAUUGAAUUUCAAUGAUGCCAUAAUGUAGCCCAUCAUUCAAAAUGGGGCCAUUAAAGAAAUGUGAGGCAUCAACAGCAUUGCUGGUAUAGGAUUGAUUAGUAGGAUUCCACAAAAUGGCGUCAAUUCAAACCUUUACCAUCAUUAGUGAUAUUUGGACCCCCUUUAAAAUGGGGGGCAAUUUAGUUCUUCAAGUUUUAUGCGAAGCGCAAUAGAACAGUCCAAUGCAAUGUGGAAAAAUUUUGCUCACUACAUGCAGUAGAUAAUCUGUGCAUGCUACAACUAUCCAUAAUGCAAAGAAACAGAGUGCUCAUCUUGUACAAGGCAAACUCAUUCCAAACAGUAAAAUAUUCAAAAAGAGAAAACAAUAAAAACCUGGUCAAAGGAAACUUAAAGUAUAUCCAUACCGAUCGAAGUUUGGAACCAAAAUCGGGGGUGAAAUCCGGGAAUAUGUCUACAUGGGUUUUCAAUAAGCAGAUCUCUGGCCCAACCUGCAAGAAUAUCCAAGGCAGCAUCAGCAACAACAGGUAACUUUUAGCCUAGUAGAUUCUACAUUUCUUUUCAAAUAUUCUCCUCACCAAAAUGCUGUACUAUGUUGUGAACUAAACAUUACAAUUUUAACUUGAAAAUUUUAUUUGAGGAUUUUCUCCUAUUUCACAAUAUUAACUUGAAGAUAACAACAUGAGCCACAAAAAAUGGAAACUCAAUCUUCUAAUUUCAAUGUCAAUGCCACAGCAGGUGUUCCGCCAAUCUUAAAUUCACAUUUUCAGGAAGAUCCAACUGAAAUCAACAUGUCAUAGGCUUGAACAUCAAAAGCCAAGGGCAGGCUGAAACGAUAUUUUGGACAAGAAAUUCACGUCCAAUGUAGGCUCGAAUACCAAAAUCUGGGCCAAGCCGAAAAACUGGUUGGGCCUAAAACUUUAUGGCCAACCAGGCUGAGCCCAAAAAUAGUUCAGGCAUCUUUUGGGCACUCUGAUCAAACACAGCUCAAAAGCAAGUGGGACCAAUCUGGGGAGAGUGGCUCCAGAGCAGAUGCUUAUACUAUGAUCAGAGCAUGUCACGGCCCCAGUAGAAUUAACAUUUCCCCCUACUACACAUCUCAAAACCUAAGGGAAUGAUAAAAUACCCAAUACCUUGCCUAAAGAUAUUCUUAUAUUCAAAUACCUAAGCCACGUGAAAAGGUGAAAAAUAUAAAUUAAUUUCUCAUUUUCUCUGUUUGGUUGCUGAGAAAAUACAAUAAAAGAACAGGAAAGACUCAUCUCUUAAUGAUUUGGGACCUCAAAGCACUCCAAUCUUCUAUCACCUAAGCUUGAUUCAACUUCAGAUUUUUUCACUUCAAGCCAAACAAAUAAUGCUUGUUUGAAGAUUUUACCAAGAAACCAAAAAACAUUAAAAAAAAUUAAAAAAGAACAAAAUUUUGUGUAGCCGAACUUGACGGCAGAAAUUUCAUGGAGCUUCAGGAUGAGAGACUCCAUUGAUGAUGAUGCUGCCGAGCUUGUCAUCCCUUCACCCUCUUCAAUCGCCUGUGAGGAGAAGAAAGACUCAUGUUUGGUGUAGCCUUUAAAGCACCGAGGGCAUCCAAAUUUUGUGAAUAUUUUAUAUAUCUAUCAAAAAUUAAAUUAUUAUUUUAUCUGAAAAAAAAAUUAUUCCAAAAUUUCUAAAAUAAAUAUUUAAAUUAUUUUAUUUUUUAUCAAGAAAUAUUAUAAAAUAUAAAAAUAUUUUCUGUUCUUCAUAUUUAACUUUGGUUUGUCUCUUUUUAGUUAAUUAAUUUUUUAGCUUAAUUGUUAAAAAUUAAAAAAAAUUUCAAAUCUUCUCCAUGGAAGAUAAGAAAUUUAUUUAUUUAUAUUAAUCAAUUUAAUUUAAAUCAUCAUUAAUAUUUUAAUAAUUAAAUAUUAUAUAAUUUAAUCUUUUUAUUUUUAUAAGUAAAGUUACGUAUCAAAAAUUUAAAUAAGUCUAUAACUUAGAUAGAUUGGUCAAAUUGAUGGAUAACUCGAGUCUAACUCGAAUUACAAAACAAUUAAUUCAAAUCCAACUUAACCCAACCUAAUCGCUAUCUCAAGGUAUUCAAUGUAAGCCCACCUCAAUUUUAUUUUUCUAAAUUUGGAUUGAAUUCGGAUUUGUUAAAUUAAACCCGAGUCAGUUGGAUUGAUUGGAUUACAUGUUUCAAAAUCUACUUAUAGUGAUUUUUAAAAAACAUUUAUAUAUAUAUAUAUAUAUAAAUUUAGAUAUUAAAUAAGACAAAAUUUUUAAAUAACAAUAAAAAAAAUAAAUUAAAUUAACUUGUAUAUCUUUCUAAAAAAUUGAAAAAGUAUAUGAAUAUAAUUAUAACUUGAUAUCUUUAAAAUUUAAAGAUAAUAGGCAUUAUAAAUAUAAUAAAAAAAAAUAAAUUGGAUUAAGUUCAGGUUAUUUGAAUCUUGACUUGAGCCUAACCUAAAUUGAAAUUGGGUUGAAAAAACUUAACCCGAGUUUAACCUUGAUAUUUGUCUAAACUCACUUAAACAUUGAGUUGGACCAUAUCAACCCACCCAAAUUCCACCUAAGGUGAAUUUAUCACAUCAAUUUAACUUAAUCACUUUUAAGUUUGUAUUAAAGUUUAGUGGUUUGAGAAGUAUUUUAUAAAAAAUGAUAUCUAUUAAAUAGUAUUUGAAAAUCACUUUUAAGCCAUUUUCAAGAUUUUAAAAAGCAUUCCAAGUCUUUCCGAACCACUCCUCAAUUUUUCUACUAUAGAGUGUGGGUUCAAAGUGACUUUUAUGGCUAUCAAAAUAUCCUAUGAAAAUCAUGUUUUAAAUAAAUAUUCAAAAUAAUAACAAAUUUAUUAGAAAUUAUAUUUUGAAACUUCGAAUUUAACACAAUGGAUUAAUUGCUUUGUUUGGAAAUUGUAAUUUAAAAUUAGAACUUUAAUAUAAAAAUAGUGUUUUAAAAAUAAUAUUUAAAAAUUUUUAUUUUUAAUUUGAAUUUUUUAAUUAUGAUUUAAAAUUAAUUAAAAAAAAUGUUACUUGCAUUUUUAGGGUAUUCGCUAACAAAGUCUAUCCACUUUCAAGGGUAAGGCUUUCUAGUGGCCACUUCAAUGGAGGAUUGCAUUUUCUUUUGAGAUUUACUCAUAUUCAACAUUUCAUACAUUUUUCUUUAAAUAUUCUAUAUAAAAUGGAAAACUCUAUAAAUUUUAGUUUAAAAUUUAAUAAUUUUUAAAAAUAGUUUAAAACAAAUUAAAGUAUUAAAAAAAUUUAUUACCUAAAUCUUAAAAAAAAAUUAAAUAUAAUUUUUAAAGUCAUAAGGUGAGUUACAAUAAGAGCUAUUUUAUAUUAUAUUGAAGUUAUUAUUAUUUUUAUUUUAAAAAUAAAAAAUAGGAAAUAUAUUGGUUUUUUAUUAUAUUUUUGAGGAUAAGUGUGUUUAUUUAAUUUUUCAAAAAGAGAAAAAUGAAAACCGAAGUUAAGGGAAAUGUCAUUAGGAAAAUUGUGUUUCAUUCACUUAGAAAAAAAGAUUAAAAUUUUUAUAAAAAUAAUUCAAGUUUUAUGUACUCAUCGGUCAAAUGUAAUAUUUAAGAUGAUCAAAUGUAGUAAUUAUUUCUUUAAAAUAUUGUAUCUAGUUAAAAGUAAUAGCUUUGAUCGAAAAAUGUACAAAAUCUUAAUUAUUUUUACACACAUGUAUGAAUUUUGAAUUUUAUAAAGUUAAGUUCUUAAUUAUGAUUUUUCUAAAAUAAGUGUGACUUUGAUGAUGAUGGCUUUUGACCAUGUAGUUGACACUAUGUGCAAAGCAAAUAAUUCAAUAUACAUGGAAUUUUCUCACAAGGUCAUGUUGUUGAAUGUCAAAGAUGUAGGCAAUGCUGAGACAGAAUUCCUCAUUUCUCCUUAAAAACACCUCUGUCUUAGGAUUUCAACCAUUGGGUGUUGAAUGUCACCCAGGUAUGUGGUGAAGAAACUUACACAUUCGCUAUAUUUAUGAGAAGACAUCAUAAUGGUCAAUUCUUACAUAGAAUUGGGGCGUUUCCAGGUUGUGACACCUUCCAACAACAAGUGAUGUUAGGUUGGGGGGCAAAUCCCCAUAUCCUUAGCCCUUUAAGAGAUUUGAGGCUUCUCAUUUGGAAUGGCAGGGAUUUCAGAUUCUCACAACUGUUAAUUUGAAGUUGUGGGAGGUUGGUUCUCAUAUCCUUGGGUUUGAUACACCUCAUUUCUAAAUUAACAUAUAAAUAAAAUAUAUAUUUUUUAAUUUUUCUUUCCAAACAAGAAAAAAGAAAAGAAAACCUAUUUUACAUCUUGACUAAUCUAACCUCAAAUUAAUUUCAUGACAUUACACCUUUUUUAAGUUAAUCAUUAUAAGUGAUUUCGUUUACAUAUUUUAAUUACAAAAUUUGUUUGAAGUACAAUAUUGUACAAAGUAAAUGUGGAAAAAAAAAGCCUUAAAAAACAUAUUAAGUGACUUCUGUCCAAAGAAAAAGAAAAAAUAUUAAAAAAAAAAGAAAGAAGAUGUUUUCAUGCCUUAUUUUAUUAUAUAACAUAUGAAAGAAAUCAAAUAAAAUUAAAAUUAGUUAAGAAUUUAUAUAUUUUUAAAUUAUUUAAUCUUUAUAUAUAAAAAUUAAAAUAAGUUAAAUGAGUUGAAGUAGCGUUUUUAUUUUUAUUUUAUUUUAUUUUAAAUGAGUUGAAGUCAAACAAAGCCUAAAAGUUUAAGAAUACCAAGAGCUAACAUGAGAGGUGGAAUUGACUAAUUCAAAAUUAUUUUGGCUUGAUCGAUAGAACCCUUGUUUAUUUGGGGAAGUUUCUUCCUCUAUAGAAUUUUGCAAAUCAAGCACAUUCAUAUCAGUCCCUUCAUUUUGCAUAUCUUCAAAAUCACUUUGUCAUUCCAUCAUUAACUCUUCAAUGUUCUCCUUUCUCUUUAAAUUAGCAUCCAUCAAUCAGAUAUCGUCUACUUUAUUAAAAUAUUUAGGCUCCAUUUCUUGCAUGACGUUCCAAGGAGGCUAGGGACUCCAUCAUCCGGAUUCCAAGAGAGGUGAGAGAUGUAAGAAGAAGACACUCAUCAUUUGAAAGGAAACCAUUUAUGAGAGAACAUCUCGAAUACGCAAUGACGAAAUAAGCUUGGGACUUACGUGUUAACACAAAAAACAUUUUAUAUCAUUUUUUUAUACAUUAUUUUCUCUCACUAGCAUAAGUAACUUAAGAAGCACUAAAAAGACAGCUAUAUUUUGGGUUAAGCUUCCAAUUGUGUUGAUUGCUGGAGUUGAAGUUCUGGUUGCACUUAGACAUGUACGUUUAUGGUUUCAUUUUAAGUUGUGUCAUCACCCCUUCAUCCUCUAAGACAGAAAAGUUUGACACAAGAAAUGGACAUUUGUGAAAGUAAUGAAAUUAAAGGUACACCAAGAUUUACGUGGAAAACCCUCCAAUGAUGAGGGAAAAACCACGGGCCGAUAUAGAAAUAAUCCACUAUGGUAAAAAGGAAAUUACAAUAUUCUCACAAAUUUCUUUUUAAAAAGAAAGGAAAAAAAACUUGAGGUAUUACAACUUUUAAGGAAAUAAAAAUGUUCAAAUCACCAUACUAGAAAACCAAAUCCUACAAAAACAUCUGCUACUAAUGUUUAAGGAGAAAACAAACUUCACAUUUCUUACAUUCUACACUAAGCACCGAAACCAAAGACGGUUGAUUUUUCUUGAGCCACUACAAAUGUAAAAGCACAACAUUGACGUCCUUAAGUUGAGUUCUUCUUGGAGAGCCAUAAGCGUCAAAAUUCCUUUCAUUUUUAUGCCAUCAACUAGCAGAAAAGUCAUUGCAUGGCAAAUCCAUCAAGCUUCUACCACCUACCACCUUAUAUUCAGGAAGUACCCAAAAAAAAGGAAAAAAGGGUUAGCCCAACUUAAUAGAAUAUGGCUAACCCAAGCAUUGCAAAUGUGAUCAUUGCCCCCAAUGUGAAAUGCUUGUCAACACUCACAUAUACACAAACAAUGAACUAUAAAAGUGCUCAUUGAAAUUCUAAUUAAGAAACACUUGAGCUGGUGGUACAAAUACAAUGGCAUGAAAAUAUGACUUACACAACAAAGAAACCUACGAAUUCUACUCAACAAACAAAAAGGAAAACCAUCAACUAUGAUUGAGUCAAUAAUAUACCGUCAUACUUUUGUUAGGAACUUAGUCUGCCACUGCAUCAUUUUUCUCCCGCCUACAUGUAGAAAAUAAGUUUCUAUUAAUUAUAGAUGCGAAACCCCAUAUUUAGACCAAGAAAAAACAGACUUAAGCAUCUGUGGUUAGUCAAGCAUACCUAGCUACAGGAAAGAAUGGUCUAUCUCUCAACUUCUACUGUAGGAAUAACACAAUUCAAUAUAAAUUCAUAUUUCCAAUGAGGUCAUGUUGUUGAAUGUUGGAGAUGUAGGCAAUGCUGAUCCAAAUUUUCUCCUUUCUCCUUUAAGCAAUUUUGUCUCACAAUAGGAGAAUUCUGGAUUUCAAGCACUAGCUGUUGCAUUCAGCUCUUCCUUCAACAAAAAAUACCAAAGCUUAGGACAACUUGAGAUCAAUAGCACUUGAAGAAACUUUCAGCAAAAAUUAAGCUUACCUGAAGUUAGAGGAACAAGCAGAAUGAAUGUUUUAUCCGUAAAGGCCUGGUGCACCAGUGCCACUCAUGGAGAGGCGUCUCAAGCUUCCCACAAUUGAACCUAAACUAAACAAUGGGGCCGGCCAAACCCCCUUCCAGAAAUUACAAAACACCUGAACAAUCAAGGAUCAACCUUGACACUGGAUGUAAAAAUGGAAAAGAAAAAAAUUAAUGAACAAAAGUAAAAUAUUUAAAAAAAAUAAAAAAGAAAAAUGGAAAAAUGUCGAGUUGCGAUGAGUUUUGAAAUGCACUAUGUCUUUCUACAUGUGCAGAAAAAUUAGGGAGUUAAGAUUAUUAUUAUGAUGUUAAUGGAAUUAUGGGAGUAGCUUAAUAAUAGGUGGGUCUCUGCUUCCAUUUUUGUGAUUGAAAAAUAAAAUCUAAUUUGAAAUUGAUUCAUGUGUUAAAAGCCUAUCUAUUUCCUUCUACAUAGGGAUGUGAAAAUCUUAGCCCAAUCAUAUUUACAUGUUAAUUUAAAUAUUUGAGAAAUUAAGAAGUCAGUACCCUUUCUAUAGACUAAAACUAGCUUCAUCAAAUUGUUGGAAUAGAAAUAAGCAAAUGUGUUUGAAAUAUCGAAUGAAAAAACCAGGUCAAUUGGAACUAAACUAAGCAAGUGCAACCAGAAAUCUUCUUGAGAUCAAACUUAAGCCACAAUAAAAUUGUUGCAACCGAAUGAAUAAUUGAGAACAACAUACUAACAUGUGAAUUUCAUCUGUAUGAGAUCUUUUGACGUAAGGGUGGCAUGCAAAAGGAAAUAUGAUUUAAUUAUGUAGAAAGAGAAAUACACUAGAAACAUUUUAGAGAACAAGGAAAUAAGAUAGAUGAGAAAAAAGAUUCUCACGAUUUUAAAAUUUAGAUGGGAAAAUUUGAAUUGUUGAACAUACCUAGUUGAAAUUAAGGAAGGGAGAGUGAUCUAAGAUUCAAUCCAGAAUUCGAGAGAAACCUCCUGGUUACAAAAUUGCAUUAAGAUAGAAAAACGUAAAAUAAACAAAAACUAAAAAGUAAAAAUAAAAGAAUUUGGAACUAAGUUGCGAAUGGGCAUACUUCAACUACCUUUAGAUAUGCGGGGAAUGUGGGCGACGUUGGACCAAUAUUCUCCUCCCUCCUUUAAGUAUCUUUCUUCUAUGGUAGGACAAUCAUAUAUGUCAAGUUCUGCAAGUGUUGCAGGAAGCGGCCCUAAGGAUCGGAGGUUAGGGCAAUUUAUGAUAUGUAAGAAUCGAAGAGAGAUGAGGUUGUGGAGAGCCAAGGAGGCUAGGGAUUCCAUUCCUUUGAUUUUAAGGGAGGUGAGAGAAAUGGGAAGAAGACACUCUUCAUCGGGGAAGGAAACCAUAUUUGGAAACAUGUUCCUAAUAGUCAAUUUAGAAAGAGAGGUGAGGGUGUCGAGGCCCCACUCAGAUAUGGGCGUUUUCAGAUUCUUACAGUUAGCGAUCUCAAGUGAUGUUAGGUUAGGGGCCAAACCCUCUUCCGGAAAGGACUUCAAUCCUGGGCAUUCGGAUAUGGUCAAGCUGCGCAGAGAUUUGAGGUUUCUCAUUUGAUGUGUUAGAGAUUUAAGAGUCUCACAUCCCUCAAUUUCAAGGAAUUCGAGGUUAGGGAUGGACAAGCCUCUUUCUGGAAAGCACUCCAGACCUCCACAAACAUUUAUUCUCAGCUGCCGAAGGCUGUCAAGGCAUCCUUGUAGGCUUUCCAGAUUUGGAUACCACUCAAGUUGUAAAUACUCUAGGGCUGUACUGUUGGGUGCAAUUUUCUGUGACACUGACUCCAAGUUUGUGCAUCGAACAAUAGUAAGUUUCUUGAGAGUAGAGGGUAACUCCCCUGUUGGAAAGGAAUUAAGAGAGGAACAAUUCCUUAUCCACAAAUCUUCAAGACAACAAGUGUUGCUGCUGGAGGUCGAAUUGUGGUGCAUCAGCCCCUCUGGUAGAGACUCAAGACUUUGACAAUCCCAAAUAUAAAGCUUCUUGAGUGUGGUGGGUAGCUCACCAUUUGGGAAGCAUUUGAGAAAUGGAGAACCGUAAAUCGUCAAGACUGCAAGCGGACAUGAGUUGUAGUUAUGAGGCAGCGAUUUUAGACCCCCACAAUAGAACAACUUAAGGCGUCUUAGCAUUGGUGGGAAACCCGAAUCAGGAAAUGACUCUAGUUUGGGGCAACUCCGUAUCUCCAGCUCUUCAAGACGUGUGAGAGUUUGCAAUCCAUUCGACAGCUUCUCCAGAUUAGCACAAUCACGUAUUUCCAAUUUUUUAAGAUUGCAAGGCAGCCAUUGCUCCUCCCACAAACAUGUCAGCCCAUCACAACCGUGUAUCUUCAAUUCUUGCAAGGCUACCAAGGAUCUAGUAAAUCCGGUCCUCAAACAUGCCAAUCUUGAAAUCUGGAUGAGAUUUACAGUAACGAGGGAUGGAAGAUCAAACUGAGCACCUCCCAACACUGCCUCAUCACAUUCUUUUAAAUUUAAUUCACGGAGAGAUGCAAGUUUUGGAAGCCCACACAUCAAUCCCGGACAUUCUAACACUUCAAGCUCUACUAGGGACUGCAGGCAUUUCGGUAAUUCCCCAAUCAGUUUUGGACAUUUCCUUAUCAAAAACUUUUCAAGAUGGGGAAAUGUUCCCACAUCUUCCUUAAUGAGAUUAGAAUGAGACCAACUUUCCCAUUCUGGCAUAUCCUCAAACCUCAACUCCUUCAAAGAUGCAAAAGGAUUCAUACUCUCUCCAUAAAAUUCAGCACCUAUGCUUUUAACUUCGCUCAUACCUUCAAUACACAAAACCUUGAGCAUCGAUAGCCCACCCAGAUUUGGUAAUAACGUGCAUUUUUUGCAAUUUUUGAGAGUUAGUUCCACCGUUACUGAGAAUGAGGGAUCUCCUAACCAACUUGGAAAUUUGGAUCCACCAUAAAAUGCAAUUGUGAGCCUUCUUAAAUUUUCACGAGGCUGCAAGGACUCCAAGACACGUAAUUCACGUUUAUCGUUUCGUGCAUCCCAACAGUCAUUACUCCACUGCAUCGUCAACUCUUCAAUUUUUUUUUUAUCUUUUAAAUUAGCAGCUCUUGCCUCUCCAACAUCCACUACCUCUUGCAACCCAGAAAUAGAAAGCACUCCUUGGAGGUUCGAACAAUUCUUGAGUUCUUCAAUUCCGACCCCUCUACUUUUGCUCACAAUGAACCUAGUCAACACUUGCAAAUUUGUGAGGUUGCUUAAUUGGAAAGGCAUUUCUAGUUGUUGACUUGUACCCGUAAUAUCAAGGUGCCGAAGGUUUUUCAGCUUUCCAAUCCCUGUAGGCAAUUUGGUAAGUUGACGACAACCACGUAAUAUCAACGUUUGUAAAUUAUAAAGAUGGCCCACUGAAUUAGGUAGACUUUGUAUAUUAGAUUCGGAAAAAUUGAGAUAACGCAGAUGUAUUAACUCACCAAUCGAACUUGGUACUUCACCCAUGCAAUAACCAGCCAAAGAUAGUACCCUUAAGCAUCUCAUUGGCAUUAUUAGGUCAUGUACCACCUGCUUAGAUAUAUAUCCAAAUGGAUACUUCAUGAUUGAUAAUACUAUUAACGUGCGUAGGUUCUUCACUUUAUCAAAGGCUUUAAAUUUUCCAACAACCUCGUAAACUUGCCGAGUGAAACCUGAAUGACGAGCUCUUUCACAAAUAGUAUGUUGCUGAUUAUUUUCAAUUUUUUCCUCCAAAUUAAAACAUACACCUCCAGCAACGAAUUGAGCAAGAUCAUGAACAAGAUCAUGCAUCACAAAUUGUGAUGAACUAUGAUUUGAUUGUUGGAAAAAUGACCUUGCAAAUAAUUCAUGAAAGAAUUCGGUGCCUAUCUCCUCCAUUUGCUUCUGUCUAUUUACUUGAUGCAAGAAUCCCUCUCCCAUCCACAGCAAGACUAAUUCAUCCACAUCGAAUUCGUAGUCCUUCGGAAAUAUAGAGCAAUAAGCAAAGCAGCACUUCAAAUGUGAAGGAAGAUGAUGAUAACUCAAUUUGAGAGCUGGAAGAAUAGUGUUAUUCUCUUGAUCUGGUAAGUCCCAUAUCUUGCUUUUCAGUAUAUCCUCCCACGCAUCACGAUUCAGUUUUGUGCGCAACAUUCCUCCCAAGGCCUUUGCAGCCAAAGGUAGCCCUUUGCACUUUUUCACUAUUUCUUCACCAACAACUCUCAGGUGUGGAUGAUUAUGGAAGUUUCUUGUACCUAAUGCUUGCUGGGCAAGCAAAGACAAGCACUCAUCAUUGGAUAACUCCUUGAGGGGAUAGGCUGAGCUGGCUCCGAUGGCUGAUACAACCCCUUGAUUACGAGUUGUGACAAUAACCCUGCUGCCUUGUGCUCCAGUCCUCAUUGGAGCGUACAAAGUAUCCCAUUUAUCACAAUUCUGAUUCCAAACAUCGUCUAAAACAAGAAGAAACUUUGUUCCAGAGAGUUUCUCUUUCAGUUUGACUUGAAGCAGGUUGAGAUCGUUGAAAUCGGACAUAUCAGAAGCAACAGACUGAACAAUUGUCUUUGUUACCCUCAAGACAUCAAAAUCAUCAGAGACACAAGCCCAAACUCUUAGAUCAAAAUGACUCUCCACUUUGUCAUCGUUGUAGGCAAGCUGAGCAAGAGUAGUUUUGCCCACGCCUCCCAUGCCAAUUAUGGGAAUGACACGGACUGCGUCAUCACUUGGCUCAUGAUCGUGGAGCAACAAGUCGAGUAUGGCUGCUUUAUCGGUUUCCCUACCACAAACACGCGAUUCAUCUACCAAAGAAGUGGUGGGUAGUAUUUCUGUUGCUUUGGCGGACCUUUUCCCGGUAACUUUUUCAGUUAAAAGGAGAUUAUUUUGCUGUGAAGAAAUAUCUUGCAACCUUUCAGUGAUCUUCUCUAUCUUGGACCUCAUCUUAACAUUGAACUUAAUAGCACUUGGAGUGAAGCUAGUACAACAAGAAGGGAUAAGGCUCCGGAACUUACUUGUACUGGGUUGAGUUUCCGCCAUCAACUUCCGCCCCAAAGCUUCAGUGGCCAAUUCGUCCAGGAUGUCCUCCACAUCAUAAGCCAAGUCUCUGAGGUCGUCGAGCCAUAUCUUCACCACUUGGUUUUCCAUCUGCUUCUCCUCCGCAUCCUCCAGCACGGCAUGAAUUUUCUUCAGUGUUUUCUCCCACUUGUUGAGCUCAGCAUGAACUUGCACUUGGCGAGCAUAAUCGAGCAGGUCAGAAGAGAUCAACUCGUCCAACAGAGUCUUAAAGAAAGAAGAGAGAAAAGCCUCUCCAACAAAAGCCAUGGAAGCAAGUACGAGAAAUCAAAGGCAGAGAAACGACUCAGAAUCAGAACAGCACAAGUAGAAAGUCAGACAAGGUUGGUUAUGGAGCAAUUAUAGAUUACAAUGUCAUUCCUCUUUGACCACACCCAUAUUCAUCACUUUGUACGGUUGAGAUCCUCCAAUCAAAUUGUGAUUAUAAUCACAUAUUUGAUGUUAGCACACUGUAUUAAGAUUCCCUUUUAUUAAUCUAAUGAUACUUAACAACUCCUGCAAUUGAUCUUUUAUUAAUACUCAUCACAUUAAUUAAAAAUUCAUCUAAAAUGUAAGGAAUCUCCAGCAAAUUUCUUGACGUGUGUAUGCAUAUUUUUAUAUUGCAAGUGGGUUUCCCACUCUAUAUUUUAGAUUAAUCUUAACAGCUGCCCUUUGUCCCCAUCUAAUUUGGAUCAGGAAUAUUGUCGGCCAACCAGAAAACUAUCUGUUUUUUACUCUUCAGAACAGAAAAUAGAUUUUUUUUUUAUUGUUUUCAUUUAUUUUUGAAUGCUAUUUUAAAAAAAUAAUUAUACGAAUAUGCAAAAUAAUUAAAAAUAAAACAUUAGAUGUAGAAAUUAUUUUUAAAACAUAUUUAAAAAUAUUAAAAAUAUUUUAGAUUUUCAAAUUGACUUUUAUUCUAUAAAACCGUUUAAAAAAAUUAUUCUAAAAAGCCGUUUUUCAUAACUAUUUUAAAAAACAAUUACUAAAGAAAACAUUAGUGCCUCUUUUCUAAGAAAAAAGAAUUGAAACUCAUUUUAAUUCUAAAUUUAUUAAUUUUUAUUUAAUAAAACUACCUAGUUAACUCCUAGAAAAAACAAAUUUUAAUUUUGAUUUUGAAUCUCACGCUUGAUUUUGAUUUGUUUAAUUUAUUAGGGUUCACCAAUUCGUGGAGUGCGAGUAAGGACGAAAACAUCGGGAUAUAUCGGCAAUAUAUCGGAAAAGGUGGAUGCAAUAUAUAGGUAAAAUAUAUUAUCCGAUAGAAAUAUCUUGAUGAUAUAUCGGUAAUCAUAGAUAUAUCGACAAUACAAGCAAAAUAUCCGCCUUAAAUGAAAAAAUAUUUAAAAUUUUGAAAAUAUAUUAAAUAUAUAGAGAUAUAUCGGUGAAAAAUCGAUUAAAAAAAUUAAAUUAUUAUAAAUAAGUUAAUUUUAAUUAUAUUAUAAUUUAUUUUAUAUACUAAGUAAAUAUAAAACAAAUACAAAAUCAUAAAUAUUUUAUGUGAAAACGUACCAAUAUUUUUAAAUAAAAAUCAUAAAUACAUUUAAAUCACAUAAUCAGUAUAGUUGCAACAAUUUAGUUUUAAAUUAAUAAUUUUAUUUUAUUUUGAUAUUCAAGUAUAAUAAUAAUAUAUUGAGAAUAAAUUUACUUAGUAUAUUUUUAAAUUAAUACAAUACUAAAUUUAAAUUAGUAUAUUUUUAUAAUUAAUUAAUAUAUUUUCAAUAGAUGUAAGUAAAUUAACUUAAUAUAGUAAUAUAUUUAAAUCACAUAAUUAAUAUAUUUAUAAUAAUUUAACUUCAUAAUAAGUAUACACUUACAAAAUUUACUUUUCUUAUUGACCAACACGAUAUAAUUAAAUUUAAUAUCCCAAAUUAUAUAUAUGUCAUUUCUUUCAACAAAACAAUUUUAAAAUGUGUAUUAUACUUUUAAUUUCAUUUUUAAGAGUUUUUUCUCAUAUUUUUAUAAGUUUUGAUUAAUUUUUGAUCUAUCGAUAUUUUGUGUCAAAAUAUCUAUCGAUAUUUUGUGUCAAAAUAUCUAUCGAUAUAACUCCGAUAUAUUCAUAAAAUUUCAUUAUCAAUAUAUUCGUGAUUACUGAUAUUUUCAUUUUUGAGUGUGAGACAUUUAAUAAAUUAGUCUCCAACUUGUUGGUAAUAGCAUGGAGUUGUUGGGGGUGAGGUCCAGACCGGGUGUAAAGAAGAAUUUGCAUUAUUGGUAGUAGUUGCAUUUGUGGUGUUUGAAAUAAGAGAAAAUAAAAGAAAAGAAAAUGGUUUUUGUAAUACAAACUGUACACUAGAAUAUCCAUGUUAUUAUUUAAUAACAUUGCUUAAAAUUAUUCAGAAGUCAUCAAACAUGUAGGCUAUGUUUGGUUGUGAAAAAUUUGAGUGAAAAAAAUUGAGGAAAGUGGAAGGAAAUAAAAAAAGUAAAGAAAAAAAAUAGAUUAAAAAAUAAUAAAUUAUUUUUAUAUGUUUAUUUAAACUCGUUUAAUUUAUUUUUCUCCAUUGUAUCUGUUCGCGGUGCAACAUAUAUGGUGAAGAAAAAUUAUAAGAUUUUUUACGAUUAUGAUGUUUUAUGUCUAUGCGGUAGUUGCUUGCUUUUCUCUCCUCUUCUCUCCCCUUCUCUCAUUUUGUACUAAUUUUUGACAUAGUGAAUUUUCUUCUCCUUCACUUAUAGUUUUUUUCAUUUUUUUUUACGUAAAUUUGUGUGUUUUUAUUUUAUUUUUCUUCAUAUUAUCUAUCAUCAUUUUUUCGUAACAAUAUUAAGAUUAAAUAAUUUCAAUUUACAUAAAUUUCUAAGUAAUUUUAAUUAUAUUUUAUUUUCUUUCAUAUUUUUCAUAGUAAAACUAAACAUAAGAGAACUAUUUUUCUUAGCAUUUUUUUUUUUCUUAAUAUUUUCUGGUAACAAAAUAUAGUUGUAGCCUUAUUUAAGUGUUUUUCUAUUGUACUAACUAUAUACUAAUUUUUUUAUCAAAAUUGAAUUUCACCUGGAAAUGGUUUGAUACACCUCAUUUCUAAACUAACAUAUAAAUAAUAUAUAUAUAUAUAUAUAAUUUUUCUUUUCAAAAAAAAAAAGAGAAAAGAAAACCUAUUUUAACUAAUCUAACCUCAAAUUAAUUCCAUGACAUUACACAUUUUUUUAAGUUAAUCAUUAUAAGUGAUUUCGUUUACAUAUUUUAAUGACAAAAUUUGUUUAAAGUACAAUAUUGUACAAAGUAAAUGUAGAAAAAAAAAAGCCUUAAAAAACAUAAGAAGUGACUUCUGCCAAAAGUAAAAGAAAAAAUAUUAAAAAAAAGAAGAAUAUGUUUUCAUGUUUUAUUUUAUUAUAAGAAAUAUAAAAGAAAUCAAACAAAAUUAAAAUUAGCCAAAAUUUUAUAUAUUUUAAAAUUAUUUAAUCUUUAUAUAUGAGAAUUAAAGCAAGUGAAAUGAGUUGAAGUAGCUUUUUUAUUUUUCUUUUCUUAUGAUUUUCCUUUCUAUUUUUUUCUUCCAUUUUUCUUCAAAUUUUCUGAAUCCAAACAUAACCUAAAAGUUUAAGAAUAUCAAGAGCUAACAUGAGAUGUGGAAUUGACCAAUUCAAAAUUAUUUUGGCAUGCUUGAUAGAACUAUUGUCCAUUUGGGGAAGUUUCUUCUUCUAUAGAAUUCGCCUAUAAACUUUUUCAGAUUUCUACAAGUUCAUAGCAAUUCAAGCACAUUUAUACCAUUCCCUUCAUUUUACAAAUAAUCAAAAUCACUUUUUCAUUCUACCAUUUACUCUUUAAUGUUCUCCUUUCUCUUUACAUUAAUAUCCAUCGUAUCUCUAAAAUUUUCUAUAACCUUGAAAGAGCAGAUAUCCCCAAAGCAACUAUGAGCUUUUUUAGAUUUCUAUGAGGUCGUAGUAACUCAAGCACAUUCAUAUGGUUCCCUUCAUUUUGAAAAUCCUCAAAAUCACUUUGUCAUUCCAUCAUUAACUUUUCAAUGUUCUCCUUUCUCUUUAAAUUAGUAUCCAUCAAUCAGAUCUCCUCCACAUUAUUAAAAUAUUUAGGCUCCAUUUCUUGCAUGACGUUCCAAGGAGGCUAGGGACUCCAUCAUCCAGAUUCCAAGACAGGUGAGAGAUGUAAGAAGAAGACACUCAUCAUUUGAAAGGAAACCAUUUAUGAGAGAACAUCUCAAAUGCACAAUGACGAAAUAAGCUUGGGACUUAUGUGUUAACAAAAAAGUAUUUUAUUCAUUUUUUAUACAUUAUUUUCAAUAGAAAAUAGUUCUCAUUUUCAUUUUCAAACAGGUUCUAGAACUUCUAACUUUUCUCUCACUAGCCUAAGUAACUUAAGCAACAUUGAAAAGACAUCUAUAUUUUGGGGUUAAGCUUCCAAUUGCGUUGAUUAAUGGAGUUGAAGUUUUGGCUGCACCUAGACAUGUAUGUUUAUGGUUUCAUUUUAAGUUGUGUCAUCAGCCCCUCAUCCUCUAAGACAAAAAAGUUUAUGACACAAGAAAUGGGCAUUCGUGAAAGCAAUGAAAUUAAAGGUACAACAAGAUUUACGCAAAAAACCCUCCAAUAAUGAGGGAAAAUCCAUGGGCCAGUAUAGAAAUAAUCCUCUAUGGUAAAAAGGAUAUUAUAGUAUCCUCACAAAUUUCUUUUUAAAAAGAAAGGAAAAAAACUCAAGGUAUUACAACUUUUAAGAAAAUAAAAAUGUUCAAAUCACCAUACCAGAGAACCAAAUCCUAUAGAAACAUCUGCUACUAAUGUCUAAGGAGAAAACAAGCUUCACAUUUCUUACAUUCUACACUAAGCACCAAAACCAAAGAUGGUUGAUUUUGCUUCAGCGACUACAAAUGUAAAAGCACAACAUUGAUGUCCUUAAGUUGAGUUCUUCUUGGAGAGCCAAAAGCGUCAAAAUUCCUUUCAUUUUUAUGCCAUCAACUAGCAGAAAAGUCAUGGUAUGGCAAAUCCAUCGAGCUUCCACCACCUACCACCUUACAUUCAGGAAGUACCAAAAAAAGGGAAAAAAGGGUUAGCCCAAUUGAAUAGAAUUUGCCUAACAAAGCAUUGUAAGUGUGAUCAUUGCCCCCAAUGUGAAAUGCUCCUCAACACUUACGUACACAAACAAUGAACUAUAAAAGUACUCAUUGAAAUUCUAAUUAAGAAGCACUUGAGCUGGUGGAAGAAAUACAAUGGCAUGAAAAUUAUGACUUACACAACAAAGAAACCUAUGAAUUCUAUUCAACAAACAAAAAGGAAAACCAUCAACUAUGAUUGAGUCAAUAACAUACCGUCAUACAUUUGUUAGGAACUUAGUCUGCCACUGCAUUAUUUUUCUCCCUCCUACAUGUAGAAAAGAAGUUUCUAUUAAUUAUAGAAGUGGAUAUUUAGACCAAGGAAAAACAGACUUAAGCAUCGGUGGUUAGUCAAGCAUACCUGGGUGAAGGAAAGAAUGAUCCAUCUCUCAACUUCUAGAGUAGGAAUAACACAACUCAAUUUAAAUUCAUAUUUCCAAUGAGGUCAUGUUGCUGAAUGUUGGAGAUGUAGGCAAUACUGAUCCAAACUUUCUCCUUUCUCUUUUAAGCAAUUUUGUCUCACAACAGGAAAAUUCUGGAUUUCAAGCACUAGGUGUUGUGUUCAGCUCUUUCUUCAGCAGUAGGGACCAAAGCUUAGCACAACUUAAGAUGAAUAGCACUUGAAGAAACUUUCAGCAAAAAUUAAGCUAACCUGAAGUUAGAGAAACAAGCAGAAUGAAUUUUUUAUCCGUAAAGGCCUGGUGCACCAGUGCCACUCAUAGAGAGGCGUCUCAAGCUUCCCACAAUUGAACCCAAACUAAACAAUGGGGCCAAACCCCUUUCCAUAAAUUACGGAACACCUGAACAAUCAAGGAUCAACCUUGGUAAUGAACGUAAAAAUGGAAAAGAAAAAAUUAAUGAACAAAAUUAAAAUAUUAAAAAAAUAAAAAGAAAAAGGGAAAAACCUUGAGUUGUGAUGAGUUUUGAAAUGCACCUUUUGUCUUUCUACAUGUGCAGAAAAAUUAGGGAGUUAAGAUUAUUAUUAUGAUGUUAAUGGAAUUAUGGGAGUAACUUAUUAAUGGGUUGGUCUCCGCUUCCAUUUUUGUGAUUGAAAAAUAAAAUCCAAUUUGAAAUUGAUUCAUGUGUUAAAAACCUAGCUUUUCCCUCUACAUAGGGAUGUGAAAAUCUUAGGUCAAUCAUAUUUACAUGUUAAUUUAAAUAUUUGAGAAAUUAAGAAGCCAGUACCAUUUCUAUGGACAAAAACCAGCUUCAUCAAAUUGUUGGAAUAGAAAUAAGCAAAUGUGUUUGAAAUAUUGAAUGAAGAAACCAGGUCAAUUGGAACUAAACUAAGCAAGUGCAACCAGAAAUCUUCUUAAGAUCAAACUUAAGCCACAAUAAAAUUGUUGCAAUCGAAUGAAUAAUUGAGAACAACAUACUAGCAUGUGAAUAAAGGGUGUUGACUCGAAUUUCAUCUACCUCUUCUAUACUUCUUACAUACAACAAUAUGAGGUCUGUUAGCUUAAGGGUGCCAUGCAAAAGGAAAUAUGAUUUAAUCAUGUAGAAAGAGAAACAUUUUAGAGAACAAGGAAAUAAGAUAGAUGAGAAAAGAAGAUUCUCACAAUUUUAAAAUUUAGAUGAGAAAAUUUGAAUCGUUGAAAUCAAGGAAGGUCAAGUCAUCUAUGAUUCCAUCCAGCAUCCAAUCUACAAUGUCAUAUCCUGGUUACAAAAUUGCAUUAGGAUAGAAAAAUGUAAAAUAAACAAAAACUCAAAAGUAAAAAUAAAAGAAAUUGGAACCAAGUUGCAAAUGGGCGUACUUUGAAUGCCUUCAUAAAUGCAGGGGAUGUGGGCGACGUUAGACCAAUAUUCUCCUCCCUCUUUUAAGUAUCUUUCUUCUAUGGUAGGACAACCAGAGAUGAAAAGUUCUUCAAGUGUUGCAGGAAGCGGCCCUAAGGACCAGAGGUUAGGGCAAUUUGAGAUAUCUAGGGAUCGAAGAGAGAUGAGGUUGCAGAGAGCCAAGGAGGCUAAGGAUUCCAUUCCAUCGAUAUAAAGGCGGGUGAGAGAAAAGAGAAGACGACUCUCUUUAACCGGAAAGGAAACCAUAUCUGGAAACAUUUCCCUAAUAAUCAAAUGAGAAAGAGUGGUCAGGGUGUCGAAGCCCCACUCAGAUAUGGGCGUUUUCAGAUUCUUACAGUUAUUGAUCCCAAGUGAUGCUAGGUUAGGGGCCAAACCCUCUUUCGGAAAGGACUCCAAUCCUAGGCAUUCGGAUAUGGUCAAGCUGCGCAGAGAUUUGAGGUUUCUCAUUUGAUGUGUUAGAGAUUUAAGAUUCUCACAUCCCUCAAUUUUAAGGUAUUCGAGGUUAGGGAUGGACAAGCCUCUUUCUGGAAAGCACUCCAGACCUCCACAAUCGUUUAUGACGAGCUUCCGAAGGCUGUCAAGGCAUCCUUGUAGGCUUUUCAGAUUUGGAUACUCCAUAAGUUGUAAAUACUCUAGGGCUGUACUGUUGGGUGACAUUUUCUCUGACACUGACUCCAAGUUUGUGCAUCUGGUUAUAGAAAGUUUCUUGAGAGUGAAGGGUAACUCCCCUGUUGGAAAGGAAUUGAGAGAGGAACAAUUAUCUAUUAACAAUGUUUCAAGACAACAAGUGUUGCUGCUGGAGGUUGAAUUGUGGUGCAUCAGCCCCUCUGGUAGAGACUCUAGACUUAGACAAUUUCUAAUACGAAGGUUCUUGAGUGUGGUGGGUAGCUCACCAUUUGGGAAGCAUUUGAGAAAUGGAGAACACUCAAUCGUCAAGACUUCAAGCGGACACGAGCUGUAGUUAUGAGGCAGCGAUUUUAGACCCUCACAAUAGAACAACUCUAGGCGUCUUAGCAUUGGUGGGAAACCCGAAUCAGGAAAUGACUCUAGUUUGGGGCAACUCCAUAUCUCCAGCUCUUCAAGACGUGUGAGAGUUUGCAAUCCAUUCGACAGCUUCUCCAGAUUAGCACAAUCACGUAUUUCCAAUUUUUUAAGAUUGCAAGGCAGCCAUUGCUCCUCCCACAAACAUGUCAGCCCAUCACAAUUGUAUAUCCGCAAUUCUUGCAAGGCUACCAAGGAUCUAGUAAAUCCGGUCCUCAAACAUGUCAAUCUUGAAAUCUGGAUGAGAUUUACAGUAACGAGGGAUGGAAGAUCAAACUGAGCACCUCCCAACACUGCCUCAUCGCAUUCUUUUAAAGUUAAUUCACGGAGAGAUGCAAGUUUUGGAAGCCCACACAUCAAUCCCGGACAUUCUAACACUUCAAGCUCUACUAGGGACUGCAGGCAUUUCGGCAAUUCCCCAAUCAGUUUUGGACAUUUCCUCAUAAAAAACUUUUCAAGAUGGGGAAAUGUUCCCACAUUUUCCUUGAUGAAAUUAGAAUGAGACCAAUUUUCCCAUUCUGGCAUAUCCUUAAACCUCAACUCCUUCAAAGAUGCAAAAGGAUUCAUACUCUCUCCAUAAAAUUCAGCACCUAUGCUUUUAACUUGGCUCAUACCUUCAAUACACAAAACCUUGAGCACCGAUAGUCCACCCAGAUUUGGUAAUAACAUGCAUUUUUGGCAAUUUUUGAGAGUUAGUUCCACCAUUACUGAGAAUGAGGGAUCUCCUAACCAACUUGGAAAUUUGGAUCCACCAUAAAAUGCAAUUGUGAGCCUUUUUAAAUUUUCACGAGGCUGCAAGGACUCCAAGACAUGCAGUUCACAUAUAUCGUUUCGUACAUCCCAAGAAUCAUUACUCCACUGCAUCGUCAACUCUUCAAUUUUUUUUUUAUCUUUUAAAUUAGGAGCUCUUGCCUCUCCAACAUCCACUACCUCUUGCAAACUAGAAAUAGAAAGCACUCCUUGGAGGUUCGAACAAUUCUUGAGUUCGUCAAUUCCAACCCCUCUACUUUUGCUCACAAUGAACCUAGUCAACACUUGCAAAUUUGUGAGGUUGCUAAAUUGGAAAGGCAUUUCUCGUAGUCGACUUGUACGUGUAAUAUCAAGGUGCCGAAGGUUUUUCAGCUUUCCAAUCCCUAUAGGCAAUUCGGUAAGUUCAUGACAACCACGUAAUAUCAACGUUUGUAAAUUAUAAAGAUGACCCACUGAAUUAGGUAGACUUUGUAUCCUAGAGUUGGAAAAAUUGAGAUAACGCAGAUGUAUUAACUCACCAAUCAAACAUGGUAGCUCUCCCAUGAUAUAAUCAGUCAAAGAUAGUACCCGCAAGUAUCUCAUUGGCAUUAUUAGGUUAUGUAACACCUGGUUAGAUAUUUUUCCGGACAAAGUAAAUGAAUCUUGAGGCAUUGUGAUUGGUACUGCUAUUAAUGUGCGUAGAUUCUUCGCUUUGUCAAAGGCUUCAAAUUUUCCAACAACCUCAAAUUCUUGCCGAGUGAAACAUGAAUGACGAGCUCUUGCAGAAAUAGCAUGUUGGUCAUCGUUUUCCAAUUUGUCCUCCAAAUUGAAACAUACGUCUCCAGCAACCAAUUGAGCAAGAUCAUGAAUAAGAUCAUGCAUCACAAAUUGUGAUGAAUGAUGAUUAGAUUGUUGGAAAAAAGACCUUGCUAAUAAUUCAUGAAAGUACGCGGUGCCUAUCUCCUCCAUCUGCUUCUUUCUGUUCACUUGGUGAAGGAAUCCCUCUCCCAUCCACAGCAAGACUAAUUCAUCCACAUUGAAUUCGUAGUCCUUUGGAAAUAUAGAGCAGUAAGCAAAGCAGCACUUCAAAUGAGAAGGAAGAUGAUGAUAACUCAAUUUGAGAGCUGGAAGAAUACUGUUAUUCUCUUUUGGUAACUCCCAUAUCUUGCUUCCGAGUAUUUCCUCCCAUGCAUCACGAUUUAGUUGUGUGCGCAACAUUCCUCCUAAGGCCUUUGCAGCCAAAGGUAGCCCCCUGCACUUUUUCACAAUUCGUUCGCCGACAGCUCUCAAGUGUGGAUGAUUAUCAAAGUUUCUGGUAUGUAUAAAUGCAUGCUGGGCAAACAAAGAUAAGCAAUCGUCAUUUGAUAACACCUCGAGGGGAUAAGCUGAGCUGGCUCUGACAGCUGGUACAACCCUUUGAUCACGAGUGGUGACAAUAACCCUGCUGCCUUGUGCUCCAGUUCUCAUUGGCUUGUAUAAAAGGUUCCAUUUAUUACAAUCCUGACUCCAAACGUCGUCUAAAACAAGGAGAAACUUUUUUCCAGAGAGUUCAUCAUUCAGUUGGACUUGAAGCUGGUUGAGAUCCUUGGCAUCGGAUUUCCUAGAGGUAGAGGCAACUGACUGAAGAAUUGUCCUGGUUACCCCCACGACAUCAAACUCAUCAGAGACGCAAACCCAAACUCUUAGAUCAAAAUGACUCUUCACUCCAUCAUGGUUGUAGGCAAACUGAGCAAGAGUAGUUUUGCCCACGCCUGCCAUGCCAAUUAUGGCAAUGACACGGACUGCAUCAUCACUUGGCUCAUGAUAAUGGAGCAAAGAGUCGACUAUGGCUGCUUUCUCUGUUUCCCUUCCAUAAACAAUAGGUUCAUCUACCAAAGAAGUGGUGUGUGGUAUUUCUCUUGUUUUGGCGGACCUUUUCCCAGAAUUUUUUUCUGUUGAAAGGAGAUUAUUUUUCCGUGAAGAAAUAUUUUCCAACCUGGCAGUGAUAUUCUCUAUCUUGGUCCUCAUCUCAACAUUGAACUUAAUAGCACUUGGAGUGAAACUAGUACAACAAGAAGGGAUAAGGCUCCGGAACUUACUAGUGCUGGGUUGAGUUUCCACCAUCAACUGCCGCCCCAAAGCUUGAGUGGCCAAGUCGUCCAGGAUGUCCUCCACAUCAUAAGCCAAGUCACUGAGGUCGUCCAGCCAUAUCUUCACCACCUUCUCUUCCAUCUGCUUCUCCUCCGCAUCCUCCAGCACGGCAUUAAUUUUCUUCAGUGUUUUCUCCCACUUGUUGAGCUCAUCAUGAACUUGCACUUGGCGAGUAUAAUCGAUCAGGACCGAAGAUAACUUGUCGAACAGGGUGUCAAAGAAAGAAGAGAGAAUAGCCUCUCCAACAAAAGCCAUGGUAUCCUUAUCGAAAAGGGACGGAAGCAAGAGAAAUCAAAACUCAAACUCCCCAGAACAAGAAAGGAUUUUGGUUAG